rnacentral:rRNA from 1 species
CCCAGACUCCUACGGGAGGCAGCAGUGGGGAAUAUUGGGCAAUGGGCGCAAGCCUGACCCAGCAACGCCGCGUGAAGGAAGAAGGCUUUCGGGUUGUAAACUUCUUUUGUCAGGGACGAAGCAAGUGACGGUACCUGACGAAUAAGCCACGGCUAACUACGUGCCAGCAGCCGCGGUAAUACGUAGGUGGCAAGCGCUAUCCGGAUUUAUUGGGUGUAAAGGGCGUGUAGGCGGGAAUGCAAGUCAGAUGUGAAAACUAUGGGCUCAACCCAUAGCCUGCAUUUGAAACUGUAUUUCUUGAGUGCUGGAGAGGCAAUCGGAAUUCCGUGUGUAGCGGUGAAAUGCGUAGAUAUACGGAGGAACACCAGUGGCGAAGGCGGAGUGCUGGACAGUAACUGACGCUGAGGCGCGGAAGCGUGGGGAGCAAACAGGAUUAGAUACCCCAGUAAAC